AAAGAUAACAUACAGUUGCCAUCUCAUCUUUUUUAUUUUAUUUUUCCAUCAUAAAUAAUUUCUUUUUUAUUUGUUAGGUGGUUGCAGCAAAUAUGGUGAGGACUGGCAGGUCAUUAUCUAGCACACACCUCCUCUGUGUUGUUGGGAGAUAUCAAGAAGCUUGUUCACAGGUGUUGAUUGCUCUCAUGUCAUGUCAUUCACAUUCAUUUUCUGCUUAUUAUUAUAUAAUAUUAAAUUAUAUUAAGAAUUCCAUCAUGAAUCUAAGAUUGUUUUUUAUUAAGUUUGUCAGCUGCAAGAUGCAGGGUGUUGGACAGAUGCUACAACCUUAGCAGCAACACAUUUAAAAGGAAGUGAUUAUUCAAGGGUAAUGCAAAGAUGGGCAGGACACGUGUUAAAUGCAGAUAAUAACAUGUGGAGGGUCCUAAUAAUGUAUGUAGCAGUGGGAUGUUUACAAGAAGCAUUGGCGGUGCUGCGUGAAGCUCAUCGACCAGAUAGUGCGGCGAUGUUCAUCAUAGCCUGCCGAGAAAUAUAUUACGUUUAAGCCCUUUUCACGUGCUUAUUUUAAAUUUGUAGAUUUGCUUUUGGGAAACAUUUUAUAUUUAUUUUUGGAAGUUAUUUGUUGUAGGUCACAUUCUUUUCACAAGGCACAAUACCUUAUGUUUCAAAAGAUGGUACAUUUAUUAUGGAUUCUCCAUAAAAGGUAUGAUUUGUAACAUAUUUUUAUUUUGCAUUUUGAUGAAUAUAAAGAAAAUGUUGAAUUGUUUUUUGGGUUUGGUCCAAGGGCAAAAUGGUCGUUUUUGAAAAAAAAAAAAACUAACAGCCAAAAAGUAAACCCAUCCAAGAGAAGGACCAAACUUGGAAUGAACCAACAUCAUAAGGACCUUUUUCAGAAAAAUAUUUAUUUAUUUAUUUAUUAAUAUUAUAUAAAAUAUAAAUAAUUAAAUAAAUAGUAAUUAUGAUACCUUUCUUCAGCAAUGUUGUCCACACAAAAUAUUAAUAUUACACCGAAGAGAAUGGUGCUUGAAAAAGCCCAAACAGAAAAUGGUUAAACUUACAACAAUCAUGUCCCACAUGGCUACAGGAAACAAAAAGCAAGUGGCAGAUGCAAUAGUUAUAGCAUGAAGCCUUCUUUUUAGUUGAUUCUGCAAAUUAAAAAUAUAUGUUAAAUCACGUUUUAGUUAUUAG